rnacentral:rRNA from 1 species
AUGUACAUGGUCCUCUUCGGGAUCUCCCAGGUCAUCUUCCCCCAGCUCCCCAACCUCCACGAGAUGGCGUGGCUGUCUAUCCUGGCCGCGGUCAUGUCCUUCUCCUACUCCACGAUCGGCGUUGGCCUCUCCCUGGCGCAGACCAUAUCAGGUCCUACCGGCAAGACGACCAUGGGUGGCACUGUCAUUGGGGUAGACGUCGCAAGUUCCGCCCAGAAGAUAUGGCUGACACUGCAAGCGCUCGGCAACAUCGCAUUCGCCUACUCGUACUCCAUGGUCCUUAUAGAAAUCCAGGACACGGUCUAG